GCCGUCGCGAGAUGGUUGUAUUUAUUAGAUUGAAACCAAUGUUGUAGUUGAAUCAUAAUAACUGUGCGGAUCGUUCUGUAUGGAGCGAUGAGUCGAAUGGGUUUCUGCCCUAUCAGUUGGAUGGCUGUGUAUUGGACAGCCAUGACAUUGACGGGUAACGGAGGAUCGGGGUUCGAUACCGGUGAGGGCGCCUGAGAAAUGGCGACCACAUCCAAGGAAGGCAGCAGGCGCGUAAAUUACCCAAUGCUAAUUCAGCGAGGUAGUGACAAGAAAUAACGAUUUUUGAUCGAAUGAUCAGAAAAUUGGAAUGAGAACAAUUUAAAUCCCUUAUCGAGGAUCAAUUGGAGGGCAAGUCUGGUGCCAGCAGCCGCGGUAAUUCCAGCUCCAAUAGCGUAUAUUGAAGUUGUUGCAGUUAAAAAGCUCGUAGUUGGAUGUGUUUUGGAUGUUGUGUUCGACUGUGAACAAAGCAGCUGAAAGUUUUGGGAAUCUUUGCAUGUGGGCAUUGAGUUGUGUUAUGUGUGGAGGCCCAUCGUUUACUGUGAAAAAAUUAGAGUGUUUAAAGCAGGGUGUUUGCCU
rnacentral:rRNA from 1 species